rnacentral:lncRNA from 11 species
AUGGAGCUGGAGCUGAUAAAGGAAUCUCAUCCACGCUUUCCCCAGGUUGGAUUCGACCUGGCAACCUUCAGCUGUAUGGAGCAACAACUGGAGAUGGAGCCUAAAAGGCUGGAAGGGACACCAGCAGAGGGUGAGAAUAGGAAACAAAUCAGGCGGCUCUCACUGCAGCUUGGGUUCAUGAUUCUGCAGUGGAUAGUCUUGCUCAUCUGCCUUGUCCUCGUUGGUUUGUGUUACUUUAAGAGCCCAGGUCCACAGACACAAUGGAUAUUUAUCAAGAAUAGCAGUGAGUUGGCUUUGUUUUUGUUUUUGCUCAGAUUUGUGUCCUAACU